CCGUUUUCUACAGAUUCUAAAAGGAAAACGCGCAUUUCUUACGCGAGAGCAAAAGAACUCCCCAGGGUUUCUUCUUUCCUUCCUAGCUCUGUGCGGAGUGCAAUAAGUAAAUCCCUCCCAGAUUGCCUCGAGGCCGGGCAUUUACGCAACUUGAAAAUAGGGCUAGGAGAGCAAAUAGUGUCUUAAACCGAAAUCCUUUCCGAAGUCGGCCACUACAUCGACUCACCCCGGCUAGGCUCAACUGUAAAUUGCCUACCUAGCAACCCGGUGAGUGACAUGCAAACUGAUGGCAAGGAUCCAGAGCGCGCGCCCGGACCACCGCGGAGGGCUGGGGGCAGAUCCCCGAGCCCUCUAGCUGGGUCCGGGGCUCGCGCGUGCGUACGAGCGAGCUAGCGAGGGGCUCCGGGCGCGGCGCGUGGUCUGCGCGCGCCCGGCCGUGCGUGUGGCUGCGGGAGGCUGCGUGUGCGCGCAGGGAGGGACAGUCCGCCUCCCGCCCGCGUCGGAGCAGGGUGCGCGCCCUGCGCUGGAGAGUUAAGGAAGAUUUGAGUUUGCAGUCCUCAGCUGGGAACGGCUUUGUGUUUGGCCCUUUUUCCCCCAGGCGGCUUAGACAGAGUAGUUCAUGGCAAAUCUUGUAAUUAAAGCAUGGAAUAUGGAAAACAAAACACUUCAGCUGGUACUUUAGUCUCAUGUGAAAUUCUACAGGCUACUCUGUCAUGUGACUCCCUCAGACUGCCCACCACUCAGGGCAGAGUUGUGUCAACUUUUUUGUACACUUUGUUCCCGGCACCAGAAUCUGGAAAGGCUGUGAGGUUGGACUCUUCUACAGGCGCUGUGCUCUAGAGAAGGAUCAUAGCAUUUAGAGUUGAACCUGAACGUGGGUUCCAGGUCCACCUGUUCUUGGGCUGCAGUGGUCUCUGAAAAAAUGACAUGGUGACACCCAUUUUACCAUGUUGUGAAAUGUGCUUUGUAAAUUGCUAUAGACAUGAUACAUACUUAAGCCCAAAUGUCCACUUAACCUUAAAACAAACAAACCCUGCUGACAACAUUGUAAAUCAACUAUACUUCAAUUAAAAAAAUAAUAAAAAAAAUGUUUUAAACCCUGCUUAAAAUUCU
rnacentral:lncRNA from 1 species